GCCCCCUCACAGGUGGCGGAGAGGGCGGCUCGUCCCGCGCUGCCGACACCGAUCCCUCCCACGGUUCUCAGCGCCCGCGUCUAAAUGCGAGUCAAAGCCGAAGGACUUUGCCGUCUUCGCUCACCCACGGGCAAAAAUAAAUCGCAAUGUGCAGAUAACAAUCGAUAACGCAAACAAAAUCUCCUGCUCGGGAUUAUUCAACGGGCAUGCUUAAGUACAACGCUAUUGAUUUGUAACUGUUCAGAGAGCAAUUUGCAUAUGGAAAUGUCUUUAUGGAGGAAUUAACUUCUAACCUCAGUACAACUGCGAGACUCCAGCUGGAAGGACGCUUAUGCCAAAUGAACAUGUGCACCAUUAGCCCAAACGUAAGCACAGAUGUGUACAUUUACAUCCAUUAGCAGAUUCAGAGAAUGACUCUGGAGAGCUGAGAGAGUAGCGAGUCACCAAAGAGCUUCCCAGAAAACUGAACCUUGCAAGCUGAGAAAUGAUAAUUACCUUAACAUUCGUACUAAGACUACAAUAACAGCCUUAAUUAGUAAUGAGGACUGACUGUGAAAAGAAGAAGAAAAAAAAGUUGCAGUUUUAUUCUUCUCUGGGUGAACUAAGGGUUUUAAAAAGCGCAAAAACACUGGGAAAAAUCUCAAAUGCAAAGUGCAAGAUAACCGUGUAAUUACAAGGGAUUUUACGCUCGGCUGCUUUGCAUGCCUGGUUCACCCGAUUGUUUCGAAGGGGGUCCUGGUGCAGAGCAGUGUGAGGACACAUUAUGGAGAACACUGGAACCGAAGCCCAAAGCCCCCGUGGCACAAGCGGGGGACAUGGCGUGUCCCAAAGCACCGACACGAGUGCCAGCUAGAGGUGGCUGGGGGAAAAUAGCACACAACUCGCACAUUCCCAAACGGGACUGGCAGAUCCUGUGUUACCCGCAGAAGGUGUUGAUUACCCAGACAAAGCCAAUCACCUGGAAGAUGUUGAAUAAUCUGCCCAUGGGCCCAAAUGGGUUUAGGCUGGGUGUCAGACUCAUUUACAUGCGUACAGGGUAAAUUCAGCAAGGACAUGGAUAGUUCUUCUCAGGUACAACUAGUGUCUUUGUUUCUUCUCAGGAUUGUUUUAUGAGCCAAAAAGAACUACACAAAUUAGUUUUCCAGUUGCUUCCCUUUAUCUUCCCCAUCUUUAAUAAAUCCAGGAUUCAGAAUAACA